CCUACGGGAGGCAGCAGUGAGGAAUAUUGGUCAAUGGACGAGAGUCUGAACCAGCCAAGUAGCGUGAAGGAUGACUGCCCUAUGGGUUGUAAACUUCUUUUAUAUGGGAAUAAAAUGUUCCACGUGUGGGCUUUUGUAUGUAUCAUAUGAAUAAGGAUCGGCUAACUCCGUGCCAGCAGCCGCGGUAAUACGGAGGGUCCGAGCGUUAUCCGGAUUUAUUGGGUUUAAAGGGAGCGUAGGUGGAUUGUUAAGUCAGUUGUGAAAGUUUGCGGCUCAACCGUAAAAUUGCAGUUGAAACUGGCAGUCUUGAGUACAGUAGAGGUGGGCGGAAUUCGUGGUGUAGCGGUGAAAUGCUUAGAUAUCACGAAGAACUCCGAUUGCGAAGGCAGCUCACUGGACUGCAACUGACACUGAGGCUCGAAAGUGUGGGUAUCAAACAGGAUUAGAUACCCUUGUAGUC
rnacentral:rRNA from 1 species